rnacentral:rRNA from 1 species
GUGCCAGCAGCCGCGGUAAUACAGAGGUCUCAAGCGUUGUUCGGAUUCACUGGGUUUAAAGGGUGCGUAGGUGGCUUGAAAAGUUUGAUGUGAAAGCUCAGGGCUUAACCCUGAAAUGGCAUUGAAUACUGUCGGGCUGGAGGUUUGGAGGGGGGACUGGAAUUCUUGGUGUAGCAGUGAAAUGCGUAGAUAUCAAGAGGAACACCAGUGGCGAAGGCGAGUCCCUGGACAACACCUGACACUGAGGCACGAAAGCCAAGGGAGCAAACAGGAUUAGAAACCCUGGUAGUCC